rnacentral:sRNA from 1 species
AACCAAAUCAAAAUCGGAUCUUCUUUGGUUUUUAUUUGGUUUCCAUUAGUUAAGAUUAGCUAUAUAUAUUUGAACUUUGAAGCAAGAUUAGUUUUAUAUCUAUUUCAAUGAAUUUUUAUUGGUUGUUUUCUUUAUUUUCUACUUAGUGAGUCAUGUACAAUUAUAGAAAUUUGACGCCAUAUAAAUUUUUUAAUUUGUUUUUUUCAUCCAUUUUUCUGUGAUAGUUUGGUUUGAUUUUAUCUGAUUGAUCACCUAGUUAUGAAUCUGAAUUAAUCACACAUUAAAUAAGUUAUUGGAUUUUAAGAUCUUGGUAAGGUUAUGGCUCUUCCACACUUAGGAGGACUUCCUCAAAGGGGUGUUGUUGGUAAUUAAAGUUUAAUUAUAUAACGCACACCCAAUAGGGAAUGUGUCACUCAACAGUCCCAGGUGGCUACAUAGAAUGGAAGCAUUAUGCAGUCAGCAUGGCAAUUUUUCAUACGAUACCAUUCUUUAUACAGUAAGCAUUUAAUCUUUUUUUUUUAAACACGGUUAUUAAAAUUUAAUUUAAUAAUCUGCAGCAUUGCACACGGCUGGAGAAUACGCCCAUUUUAAGAAUGAGAAAGACAAGGAGAAACCUGAUCGGCUGCACAUUUUCAAGUAAUGAUUAUUAUUUUUAAAACAUUAGUAACUGACUGAGUCUUAUUUAAUCCUAAAAAAAAAUAAAUACAUAUACAAUGAUUGAAAGGCAAGCUUAAUUAGUUAUUACGUUCCUAGCCUAUCGAUUGUUUAUAUCGGUAAAUAUUUUAUAAAUUAUU